rnacentral:rRNA from 1 species
AGUGAACGCUGGCGGUAGGCCUAACACAUGCAAGUCGAACGGCAGCACAGAGGAGCUUGCUCCUUGGGUGGCGAGUGGCGGACGGGUGAGGAAUACAUCGGAAUCUACUCUGUCGUGGGGGAUAACGUAGGGAAACUUACGCUAAUACCGCAUACGACCUACGGGUGAAAGCAGGGGAUCUUCGGACCUUGCGCGAUUGAAUGAGCCGAUGUCGGAUUAGCUAGUUGGCGGGGUAAAGGCCCACCAAGGCGACGAUCCGUAGCGGUUCUGAGGGGAUGCUCAGCCACACUGGAACUGAGACACGGUCCAGACUCCAAAGGGAGGCAGCAUUGGGGAAUAUUGGACAAUGGGCGCAAGCCUGAUCCAGCCAUACCGCGUGGGUGAAGAAGGCCUUCGGGUUGUAAAGCCCUUUUGUUGGGAAAGAAAUCCAUCUGGUUAAUACCCGGGUGGGAUGACGGUACCCAAAGAAUAAGCACCGGCUAACUUCGUGCCAGCAGCCGCCGCAG